UGGGGAAUAUUGGACAAUGGGGGCAACCCUGAUCCAGCCAUGCCGCGUGAGUGAUGAAGGCCUUAGGGUCGUAAAGCUCUUUCGCCUGUGAAGAUAAUGACGGUAGCAGGUAAAGAAACCCCGGCUAACUCCGUGCCAGCAGCCGCGGUAAUACGGAGGGGGUUAGCGUUGUUCGGAAUUACUGGGCGUAAAGCGCACGUAGGCGGACCAGAAAGUUGGGGGUGAAAUCCCGGGGGCUCAACCCCGGAACUGCCUCCAAAACUAUUGGUCUAGAGUUCGAGAGAGGUGAGUGGAAUUCCAAGUGUAGAGGUGAAAUUCGUAGAUAUUUGGAGGAACACCAGUGGCGAAGGCGGCUCACUGGCUCGAUACUGACGCUGAGGUGCGAAAGUGUGGGGAGCAAACAGGAUUAGAUACCCUGGUAGUCCACACCGUAAAACGAUGAAUGCCAGUCGUCGGGUAGCAUGCUAUUCGGUGACACACCUAACGGAUUAAGCAUUCCGCCUGGGGAGUACGGUCGCAAGAUU
rnacentral:rRNA from 1 species